rnacentral:rRNA from 1 species
CAUGUAGGCGACUUGUCGUGUCAGAUGUGAAAGCCCACGGCUCAAACGUGGAAGUGCAUUUGAAACUGGCAGGAUAGAAUACGGGAGAGGGUUGUAGAAUACCAGGUGUAGAGGUGAAAUUCGUAGAUAUCUGGUAGAAUACCGGUGGCGAAGGCGGCAACCUGGACCGAUAUUGACGCUGAGAUGCGAAAGCGUGGGGAGCGAACAGGAUUAGAUACCCUGGUAGUCC